GACGAACGCUGGCGGCGUGCCUAAUACAUGCAAGUCGAACGAACUCUGGUAUUGAUUGGUGCUUGCAUCAUGAUUUACAUUUGAGUGAGUGGCGAACUGGUGAGUAACACGUGGGAAACCUGCCCAGAAGCGGGGGAUAACACCUGGAAACAGAUGCUAAUACCGCAUAACAACUUGGACCGCAUGGUCCGAGCUUGAAAGAUGGCUUCGGCUAUCACUUUUGGAUGGUCCCGCGGCGUAUUAGCUAGAUGGUGGGGUAACGGCUCACCAUGGCAAUGAUACGUAGCCGACCUGAGAGGGUAAUCGGCCACAUUGGGACUGAGACACGGCCCAAACUCCUACGGGAGGCAGCAGUAGGGAAUCUUCCACAAUGGACGAAAGUCUGAUGGAGCAACGCCGCGUGAGUGAAGAAGGGUUUCGGCUCGUAAAACUCUGUUGUUAAAGAAGAACAUAUCUGAGAGUAACUGUUCAGGUAUUGACGGUAUUUAACCAGAAAGCCACGGCUAACUACGUGCCAGCAGCCGCGGUAAUACGUAGGUGGCAAGCGUUGUCCGGAUUUAUUGGGCGUAAAGCGAGCGCAGGCGGUUUUUUAAGUCUGAUGUGAAAGCCUUCGGCUCAACCGAAGAAGUGCAUCGGAAACUGGGAAACUUGAGUGCAGAAGAGGACAGUGGAACUCCAUGUGUAGCGGUGAAAUGCGUAGAUAUAUGGAAGAACACCAGUGGCGAAGGCGGCUGUCUGGUCUGUAACUGACGCUGAGGCUCGAAAGUAUGGGUAGCAAACAGGAUUAGAUACCCUGGUAGUCCAUACCGUAAACGAUGAAUGCUAAGUGUUGGAGGGUUUCCGCCCUUCAGUGCUGCAGCUAACGCAUUAAGCAUUCCGCCUGGGUAGUACGGCCGCAAGGCUGAAACUCAAAGGAAUUGACGGGGGCCCGCACAAGCGGUGGAGCAUGUGGUUUAAUUCGAAGCUACGCGAAGAACCUUACCAGGUCUUGACAUACUAUGCAAAUCUAAGAGAUUAGACGUUCCCUUCGGGGACAUGGAUACAGGUGGUGCAUGGUUGUCGUCAGCUCGUGUCGUGAGAUGUUGGGUUAAGUCCCGCAACGAGCGCAACCCUUAUUAUCAGUUGCCAGCAUUAAGUUGGGCACUCUGGUGAGACUGCCGGUGACAAACCGGAGGAAGGUGGGGAUGACGUCAAAUCAUCAUGCCCCUUAUGACCUGGGCUACACACGUGCUACAAUGGAUGGUACAACGAGUUGCGAACUCGCGAGAGUAAGCUAAUCUCUUAAAGCCAUUCUCAGUUCGGAUUGUAGGCUGCAACUCGCCUACAUGAAGUCGGAAUCGCUAGUAAUCGCGGAUCAGCAUGCCGCGGUGAAUACGUUCCCGGGCCUUGUACACACCGCCCGUCACACCAUGAGAGUUUGUAACACCCAAAGUCGGUGGGGUAACCUUUCAGGAACCAGCCGCCUAAGGUGGGACAGAUGAUUAGGGUG
rnacentral:rRNA from 2 species